ensembl:lincRNA
AGAGCUGUCCUUUGUCCCCACUGUUUCCAUGGUCUAAGCAACAAGGUUGAAAUGUGCAAAAUGUGAUUUGUGCUCUGUUGGCUAAAGACAGCAGUGGGUCACUGACAAGAAAAUUCACCUGGAGGCCAAAUUGUCUCUAAUAACAAGUCCAAGACAUGCAUUCCAGCUGGAAUCCUCUUCCCGGAUGGUUGUGUGUUUUUAAUUGCAGUAGCCAUCUCCAAAAAUGCCAUCCAGUAACCAUGCCCUUGUGUGCUGCCCUUUCCAUGAAUCUGAGCUAGCCCCAUAAUUAGCUUUUGGCCAUUGGAUGGUGGUGGAAGUGAUGCUGUGUGACUUUUGAAGCUGAGUUACAAGCAGCCUUGGAGAGUCUUUCUAGACCUCGUGGAGGGCUCACUCUGGGGGAAGCCAACCAGCAUGUAAGGAGCAUAACUGCCCUGAGACCGCCGUGUUGUUAGGAUGCCCAGCUAGCUAUGUGGAGAAGCUGCAUAGACUGAGGGAGAAGCCCAGCUAGUCUCCAGUUAUUCCUGCCACCCUAACUGAGGCACCAGACCCAUGAGCAAAGAAACCAUCAUGGAUGUCCUGUCCCAUCCAGCUUCUGUGACUGUAACUGUAUGAGGACCCCAGUGAAAACCACGCAGCUGAGCCUAGUCAACACACAGAGCUAUGGAAG